rnacentral:rRNA from 1 species
UACGUAGGGUGCGAGCGUUAAUCGGAAUUACUGGGCGUAAAGCGUGCGCAGGCGGUUCGUCAAGUCUUGUGUGAAAGCCCCGGGCUCAACCUGGGAAUGGCAUGGGAAACUGGCGAGCUGGAGUGCGGCAGAGGGGGGUGGAAUUCCGCGUGUAGCAGUGAAAUGCGUAGAGAUGCGGAGGAACACCGAUGGCGAAGGCAGCCCCCUGGGUCGACACUGACGCUCAUGCACGAAAGCGUGGGGAGCAAACAGG